CGUUAGCGGCGGACGGGUGAGUAACACGUGGGUAACCUACCUAUAAGACUGGGAUAACUUCGGGAAACUGGAGCUAAUACCGGAUAAUAUUUCGAACCGCAUGGUUCGAUAGUGAAAGAUGGUUUUGCUAUCACUUAUAGAUGGACCCGCGCCGUAUUAGCUAGUUGGUAAGGUAACGGCUUACCAAGGCGACGAUACGUAGCCGACCUGAGAGGGUGAUCGGCCACACUGGAACUGAGACACGGUCCAGACUCCUACGGGAGGCAGCAGUA
rnacentral:rRNA from 1 species